rfam:Oryza sativa (indica cultivar-group) chromosome 4, whole genome shotgun sequence.
AAAAAAGCAAACCGUGGAUUCCCAUGCCAACGUUUGACUAUCCGUCUUAUAUGAAAUUUUUUUAUAAUUAGUAUUUUUAUUGUUGUUAAAUGAUAAAACAUGAUUAAUACUUUAUGUGUGACUUAUCUUUUUAAUUUUUUUCAUAAUUUUUUCAAAUAAGACCGACGGACAAACGUUGGACACGGAAAACCAGGGUUUGUCUUUUU